AUAUGUUUUUGGAGAAAUGUGGUUCUAUUGAACUGAUCUGAACUGAAAGGAAGAAAAUGGAUCUGAAAAGUAAAUCACUGCAUUUGACAGGGAAAGUGAAAUAACCAAAUGCAAUUUAAGUUAUACGCCAACAUCUGAGAGCAAGAAAUCAAAGAUCAAGCAACAUUGCAGAAGGUGAAGCAGCACCUCAGUCACCAGCAACACAGUAUGAUGCAGUCAUCAUGGGGAACUGAGAAAGAAAGA